AUCACUUCUCGGCCUUUUGGCCAAGAUCAAGUGUAGUAUCUAAUUAAAAAUGCCUCUAUAUUACUCAUGAGUCCUAAGUCUGUAUAUUUAACUUCU
ensembl:snRNA U2 U2 spliceosomal RNA